CGGAAUGCAUUUCGUACGUACUGAUCCGAGGUCAACUGGAUGAAAAGUAAGAGGUUUGCCGGGAGGGGGACGCCCCAACCCCUUUAGAGAGAAGAUUCUACUACGCUUGAGGCCGAGACGGCACCGCCGAUGACUUUGAGGCACGUCCGUCGCGGACGAUGGCCCAAUACCAAGCAGAGCUUGAGGUGCGUAAUGACGCUCGAACAGGCAUGCCCCUCGGAAUACCAAGGGGCGCAAUGUGCGUUCAAAGAUUCGAUGAUUCACUGAAUUCUGCAAUUCACAUUACUUAUCGCAUUUCGCUGCGUUCUUCAUCGAUGCCAGAACCAAGAGAUCCGUUGUUGAAAGUUUUAUGAUAUUAAAUAUCCACUCAGACCGCAACCAAAAACAACAAGGGUUUGGGUCUUCCUCCGGCGGGCGCGGGCCAGCCCCCCCGACGAGGGGAACCGGCCGCCCUUUCGGGCUGGCCCGCCAAAGCAUCAGAGGUAAUGUAAAGAUUGGGUUGGAGAGCGGAGUCGAGGCUCCCAGAACUCGGUAAAUUGCCCGCCGAAGGAACAC
rnacentral:misc_RNA from 1 species